rnacentral:rRNA from 1 species
UACGAAGGGGGCAAGCGUUGAUCGGAAUUACUGGGCGUAAAGCGCGCGUAGGCGGCUUCAUAAGUCCGUUGUGAAAGUCCUGGGCUCAACCUGGGGACGGCAGUGGAUACUGGGAAGCUGGAGUACGGAAGAGGAUCGCGGAAUUCCCGGUGUAGCGGUGAAAUUCGUAGAGAUUGGGAGGAACACCGGUGGCGAAGGCGGCCAUCUGGACCAUCACUGACGCUGAGGCACGAAAGCGUGGGGAGAAAACAGG